AAGCCAGACUCCUACGGGAGGCAGCAGUGGGGGAUAUUGCACAAUGGGGGAAACCCUGAUGCAGCGACGCCGCGUGGGUGAAGAAGCGCCUCGGCGCGUAAAGCCCUGUCAGCAGGGAAGAAAAUGACGGUACCUGAAGAAGAAGCCCCGGCUAACUACGUGCCAGCAGCCGCGGUAAUACGUAGGGGGCAAGCGUUAUCCGGAUUUACUGGGUGUAAAGGGGGCGCAGACGGCGAUGCAAGCCAGGAGUGAAAGCCCGGGGCCCAACCCCGGGACUGCUCUUGGAACUGCGUGGCUGGAGUGCAGGAGGGGCAGGCGGAAUUCCUGGUGUAGCGGUGAAAUGCGUAGAUAUCAGGAGGAACACCGGUGGCGAAGGCGGCCUGCUGGACUGCAACUGACGUUGAGGCCCGAAAGCGUGGGGAGCAAACAGGAUUAGAUACCCCAGUA
rnacentral:rRNA from 1 species